CUGAAAUCCUAUGUAUUGAAUGAAUAGAGAAUCCUUUUGAAUCGGGAAAAAAAUCGUUUUUGAAUCGAGAAUCGUGUUGAAUUGAAAAAAAAAACCCGAUUUUGAAUCGAAUCGUGACCCCAAGAAUCCACCGCCAAAAACAUGCACCUGGGGAUAGGUUGAUUGGCAAGACUAAAAUUGGCCCUAGUGUGUGAAUGUGAAUGUUGUCUGUCUAUCUGUGUUGGCCCUGUGAUGAGGUGGCGACUUGUCCAGAGUGUACCCCGCCUUCCGCCCGAAUGCAGCUGAGAUAGGCUCCAGCACCCCCCGCCACCCCAAAAGGGACAAGCGAUAGAAAAUGGAUGGAUGGAUGUCUCAGAGCUAAAAACUUGCAAGAUUUGCUGGCGAUGUUAAAAAAUGUCCAUUCAUUUUGUGGGUGUUUUAUUUGUAUGUUUUCACCAGACUGUAUAGUCUGGCCUUGAGCAUCAGUGAAUCUCGGGGGGGAAAGAACGCAGCCCACUCUUUCCCUGGUAGAAAAUGCAAGAUGUCACUCUCUGACAAUGUUCUUGCUGCUGUCCACCUUGUUUGAAGGACAAGCUUGGCUAAUGGUCAGCCGGGCCUCUGAGCAAGUCCACUGGAGGCAGCCCUGGCCUGCUCUUAUGCUAUAAUUGGCAGUCAAAGCUUUAAAGCACCUGGCCAAGCCUUUCACGCAUUGCCAGGUGCACUUGCCUCCACUGGGGAGCGGAAUUAAAAA